UACGGGGGGUGCAAGCGUUGUCCGGAUUUACUGGGCGUAAAGGGCGCGUAGGCGGCCACCGCAGGUCGACUGUGAAAUCUCCGGGCUUAACCCGGAAAGGUCAGCCGAUACUGCGGGGCUAGAGUGCAGAAGGGGCAACUGGAAUUCUCGGUGUAGCGGUGAAAUGCGUAGAUAUCGAGAGGAACACCUGCGGCGAAGGCGGGUUGCUGGGCUGACACUGACGCUGAUGCGCGAAAGCUAGGGGAGCGAACGGG
rnacentral:rRNA from 1 species